GACGAACGCUGGCGGCGUGCCUAACACAUGCAAGUCGAGCGAAGGAUAUAUGAGGAAAUCUUCGGAUGGAAUCAUAUAAACUUAGCGGCGGACGGGUGAGUAACGCGUGAGGAACCUGCCUUGCACAAGGGGAUAGCCUCGGGAAACCGGGAUUAAUACCCUAUGAUACUUAAAAUUCGCAUGAAGAAGUGAUUAAAGAAUUUCGGUGUAAGAUGAGCUCGCGUCCCAUUAAUUAGUUGGUGAGGGUAACGGCCCACCAAGAUAGCGAUGGGUAGCCGAUCUAAGAGGAUGACCGGCCACAUUGGAACUGAGAAACGGUCCAA
rnacentral:rRNA from 1 species